rnacentral:rRNA from 1 species
UACGUAGGGCGCGAGCGUUGUCCGGAAUUACUGGGCGUAAAGCGUGCGCAGGCGGUUAUGUAAGACAGGUGUGAAAUCCCAGGGCUUAACCUUGGAACUGCAUUUGUGACUGCAUAGCUAGAGUACGGUAGAGGGGGAUGGAAUUCCGCGUGUAGCAGUGAAAUGCGUAGAUAUGCGGAGGAACACCGAUGGCGAAGGCAAUCCCCUGGGCCUGCACUGACGCUCAUGCACGAAAGCGUGGGGAGCAAACAGG